rnacentral:piRNA from 1 species
UACAUAUGGGCCCCUGGACAAUGG